rnacentral:rRNA from 1 species
AUUGAACGCCGGCGGCAGGCCUAACACAUGCAAGUCGAGCGGAUGAAGGGAGCUUGCUCCUGGAUUCAGCGGCGGACGGGUGAGUAAUGCCUAGGAAUCUGCCUGGUAGUGGGGGAUAACGUCCGGAAACGGGCGCUAAUACCGCAUACGUCCUGAGGGAGAAAGUGGGGGAUCUUCGGACCUCACGCUAUCAGAUGAGCCUAGGUCGGAUUAGCUAGUUGGUGGGGUAAAGGCCUACCAAGGCGACGAUCCGUAACUGGUCUGAGAGGAUGAUCAGUCACACUGGAAUGGAGACGCGGCCCAGCCUCCGAGGGGGGGAAGAGGUGGGAAAUUUGGGAAAAGGGGCGAAAGCUGUACCAAGCAUGGCGGGGGGGGGAAAGAGGUUUUUCGGUUGGUAAACAACUUUAAGUGGGGAGGAAGGCAAGUAAGUAAAUACUUUCUUGUUUUGACUUUACAAAAAAAAAAAAGCCCGGCAACCUCGGUC